UUCUUUUUUUCUGUUUUUUUCUGUUUUUUUUUUUUUUUUUUUCA
rnacentral:ribozyme from 14 species